GAUGAACGCUAGCGGCAGGCUUAAUACAUGCAAGUCGAGGGGCAGCAUGAUUGUAGCAAUACAAUUGAUGGCGACCGGCAAACGGGUGCGGAACACGUACACAACCUUCCAACAAGUGGGGGAUAGCCCAGAGAAAUUUGGAUUAAUACCCCGUAACAUAGCGAUGUGGCAUCAAAUUGCUAUUAUAGAUUUUUCGCUUGUUGAUGGGUGUGCGGCUGAUUAGAUGGUUGGCGGGGUAACGGCCCACCAAGUCUACGAUCAGUAGCUGAUGUGAGAGCAUGAUCAGCCACACGGGCACUGAGACACGGGCCCGACUCCUACGGGAGGCAGCAGUAAGGAAUAUUGGACAAUGGACGCAAGUCUGAUCCAGCCAUGCCGCGUGAAGGAUUAAGGUCCUCUGGAUUGUAAACUUCUUUUAUAAGGGACGAAAAAAGGCUUUUCUAAGUCGUCUGACGGUACCUUAUGAAUAAGCACCGGCUAACUCCGUGCCAGCCGCCGCAGUAAGAC
rnacentral:rRNA from 1 species